rnacentral:rRNA from 1 species
UACGUAGGGUGCGAGCGUUAAUCGGAAUUACUGGGCGUAAAGCGUGCGCAGGCGGCGCGUUAAGACAGGUGUGAAAGCCCCGAGCUUAACUUGGGAAUUGCGCUUGUGACUGGCGAGCUGGAGUGUGGCAGAGGGAGGUGGAAUUCCACGUGUAGCAGUGAAAUGCGUAGAGAUGUGGAGGAACACCGAUGGCGAAGGCAGCCUCCUGGGGCCAGCACUGACGCUCAUGCACGAAAGCGUGGGGAGCAAACAGG